UACGUAGGGGGCUAGCGUUGUCCGGAAUCAUUGGGCGUAAAGCGCGUGUAGGCGGUCCGGUAAGUCCGCUGUGAAAGUCGAGGGCUCAACCCUCGAAUGCCGGUGGAUACUGUCGGGCUUGAGUACGGGAGAGGCGAGUGGAAUUCCUGGUGUAGCGGUGAAAUGCGCAGAUAUCAGGAGGAACACCGAUUGCGAAGGCAGCUCGCUGGAACGUUACUGACGCUGAGACGCAAAAGCGUGGGGAGCAAACAGG
rnacentral:rRNA from 1 species